GAUUUCUGGUGUGGUGCGCCGAGCCCGCCUCUUAUGGAGGUGAGUGCUUGUUGCGUGCCUGCCAUACUUCGGCGAGAGUGUGGAUUGGAUACCUUCACUGGUGUUCAGUUUUUUUACACGAUCCCGAUCGUUUACUUUGAAAAAAUUAGAGUGUUUAAAGCAGGCUGACGCUAUGAAUACAUUAGCAUGGAAUAAUAAGAUAGGACUUCGGUUCUAUUUUGUUGGUUUCUAGGACUGAAGUAAUGAUUGAUAGGGACAGUUGGGGGUGCUAGUAUUUAACGGCCAGAGGUGAAAUUCUUGGAUUCGUUAAAGACUAACUUAUGCGAAAGCAUU
rnacentral:rRNA from 1 species